rnacentral:rRNA from 1 species
UCAGGAUGAACGCUAGCGGCAGGCUUAACACAUGCAAGUCGAGGGGCAGCGCGAGUAGCAAUACUUGGCGGCGACCGGCGCAAGGGUGCGUAACGCGUGAGCAACAUGCCCGUAUCAGGGGGAUAAUCCAGGGAAACUUGGUCUAAUACCCCAUAGUAAUUUUGUAAGGCAUCUUAUAAGAUUUAAAGCUUUGGUGGAUACGGAUUGGCUCGCGUGACAUUAGCUGGAUGGUAAGGUAACGGCUUACCAUGGCUAUGAUGUCUAGGGGUUCUGAGAGGAAGGUCCCCCCACACUGGAACUGAGACACGGUCCAGACUCCUACGGGAGGCAGCAGUGAGGAAUAUUGGACAAUGGAUGGAAAUCUGAUCCAGCCAUGCCGCGUGAAGGAAAAGAAGGUCCUAUGGAUUGUAAACUUCUUUUGUAUGGGAGCAAUAAGGCCUACGAGUAGGUUGAUGAGAGUACCAUACGAAUAAGCACCGGCUAACUCCGUGCCAGCCGCUGC